rnacentral:rRNA from 1 species
UAUCUCUGUAGAGUCUGCAUAUCAAUAAGCGGAGGAAAAGAAACUAACAAGGAUUCCCUCAGUAACGGCGAGUGAAGCGGGAAGAGCUCAAAUUUGAAAUCUUCAAGGUUCUACCUUGACGAAUUGUAGUUUAAAGAAGUGUUUUCUGUUAGAUGAGUAGCAAAAGUUCCUUGGAAUGGGACAUCAUAGAGGGUGAGAAUCCCGUAUUUGGUUAUUCAUUCUAGCUUUGUGAUACACUUUCAAAGAGUCGGAUUGUUUGGGAAUGCAGUCCAAAAUGGGUGGUAAAUUUCAUCUAAAGCUAAAUAUUGGCGAGAGACCGAUAGCGAACAAGUACCGUGAGGGAAAGAUGAAAAGAACUUUGAAAAGAGAGUUAAACAGUACGUGAAAUUGUCAAAAGGGAAGCGUUUGACACCAGUGUUGUUCUUCCGAAAAUCAAUUACGAAUGGCUUGAUUUUGUGUUGUAUUGACCUUAUCAGCUUUCUGCACUUUUUUCGAGUCUUUCUUAAUGCACUUUUCGGUUAACAAGUCAACAUCAGUUUCUUUUGUUGUAAAAGAGUAUUCGGAAGGUGGCUUUCUUUUCGGAGAAAGUGUUUAUAGCCCUAUACUUCUACAAUCGGAGAGAUUGAGGUCUGCAGCGUAGAUCCUUCGGGGUUAGAUACAUUUGUGCUAAGUUGUAGCUCUUCAUAGACAACUUGUUGACUAUGUUUAGUCAUGCGGCUUACUCGCUUAGUGCUAUUUUACCUACGCUUAGGAUGUUGACUGAUAUGUAGUCGU